UUAAACUCUGAUCAUUUAGCGAGUCAGUCCCCAAUAAGACAGACAGAAGGAUAGAGACAUGAUGUUCAGAGAUUUCAGCGGGAUCGCUCUGCUGCUCUUUUUGCUCCUUGAUUUUUCCCUCACCACCAUUGUUCAGCAGGAUCCCCCUUCGAUAAUAGGAAGUCCAAAGGGUCCUGCAAAAAUCAAAUGCAACCAUUCAGUUAGUACAUAUGAUACAAUACUGUGGUACCAGAAACCCAUUGGUGGAUCUGUUCUUAAAUUUAUGGCCUAUAAUCUAAUAUCUGGUGCAACACUUGAGGAUGAAUUCAAAGGCCACUUCAUUGUUGAGGGAGAUGGCUCCAAGAAUUCAGAGCUUCGUGUAGAGAAACUCCAGCCAGAAGACAGCGGCAUUUACUACUGUGCAGCUAGUAGGCACAGUGAUUCAUACAGUCUCUUCCCACUACAAAAACUCCAGAACAUAAACACAAACUGA